GUUGUGUUGGUCAUCACAAGAAAGCAGAGCUUCCCUACAUGAGAUGACAGCGUAGCUUUCAUGUCGCCACAGGGAGCAACUUAAGCCUGGAGAGCAAAUGUUAGGGGACGGGGGUGGUCACCAGCCUGGAGCUACAAAUCACUGUCUCUGGUAGUAGCGGCUUUGCUCUAUGUUAUGACAACACAACAUGACAAAUGCUAUUAUGACCCAUCUGUGACAACAAGAAGCAAGCAGAUGCUUCAAGAGCAAGUGCAUGCAGAAUGAUGGCGGAAUUUGGCGGUGAUACAAGUGAGACAAUUUAUGGGUUACUCCAGGCCAAGAUGGAGGUCUAAAAGGAGAAACAAGCGAGGCACUAACAGGACUUCUUGACUCCAUGGCUGAAAGGAAGCUCAUGAUUGAGGUCUCUGAAGUGUUGUUUGUGUGAAGUGCACCUGCAAGUCAAAAAGUCAAGAGAAAAUGGAACGAUACUAAUCACUUAAUGAAAACUACAACUCAAUAAACCGAUAUAAAAACUUCAAAAAUGUAACCUCUGAAGUCAAAUGUAUUUAUUUAUUUUACCUUAUUUAACCAGGAAAUACCAUUGAUAUUUUUGUUUGAGGGAACACUGGCAAGAGACAGCAGCAAACAUUCAGAAAAUGUAUAAUCAAAAAAGUGUUUUGGAAAAAUGCACAUUUAAAUUCUCACAAAAAUGUCAUUCUAAAACAUAAUUAAAUCUCACCUGGCUCACAUCUUAGACUAAUGCUGGAAUCUUCCCACUGCUUGUUAUUGUAGCAAAUUACACUAAAAUAGUGUUUACAUCACAUACCAACCCCAAAAAAGUACAAGUACCAGCAUCAUGGCGAAGGACAAAAUACAGUAAAAUAAAAGACUGAAAUGUUUAAUCCUGAAUAAGUUUACAUUACCAUAGCAUAGACUUUAUAUAAGAUGCAUGAUAAUACAUUUUUCAACCGAUACCAAUAACCGAUAGUUUCCUCCUCAUUCCAACAGAUAAUCGAUAAUGUCAAGCCGAUAAUUCUAUUAAAAGAUUUAUGUAAAAAUUUAAAGUAUACACAAGAGAAAAUAUUACUGCGCAAAAAGCACAAAAAUGCCUUUAAAAGUAAGCCAUUCCGAACAUAUACAACAUUACUACACUGCAAAAACACACCUAGUUUUAAGUGUAAAUCUACUGGAAAUAAGUGAAAUUAUCUGCCAGCCCUUCAAGCGUAUUUCACUCAUAUUUCUUGAAGAAAAAUAGCUAGCUGAAAAUAAGCUUAACAGCCUUAUUUUAAGCAAUAAAUUAUUAUACUUAAUCCUAAAAAAAACUUGUUUGCCAGAAAUGUUCUUUAUUCAAGAAUAGAUAUGGUUCAAAACAUUAUUUGAAAGCAUUUUUGUCUUG